GGGGAAGGGUAGAGGAUGAUAUAUAGAUACAUGAAUAAUUCCUGCCCCUCAAGAGCUGGUUGAGUUGGAAAGAAUGAUACCACAUGAAAAUGAACAUACAAGAAAUAAUUUGAAAUCAAGUUUCAAGUAAACUCAGCAUCUUCUCAGGGGUUCCUUGACAGCAAACAGAAGAUGAUAUGUUUUGAGGCACUCAGGUCCUUAGAUAAAGGUCUAUUUAUUCUACAUGUAAGAAAGGUAUGUGAAAUUUUGGUUUUCAAACCCAGGAUGUGAACUCAUAUUUCCACUGAUAACCUAUUAGGUGACACAUCUGCUAAUUGAGUUCCCUGGCAGCGAGAAGACAGAGAAUAGAACAUUGACGAUGGUGUGAUGUAGUCAAUCAUGGAAGGCUCCCUGCGGGAAGCAAUUCUUCAGCUCCAUCUUCAGCAUCAUCUUUUGGAAAAAGAAGUCAGAUUUCGUAUCAGGGAUGUUUCUGACUCAGGUCCAACGGCCUGCAUCUCCUCUGUGCUUCUCUUUGCAUUCUGCUUGAGCAGGUGUGCAUGAGGAGGGAGGAAGGACACACAAAGGAAGCAAGAGCAGGAAGAAAUGAACAGGCUCUUGAACAUGGAUGAAAGGGAGAGUAAGCACAGCAGAAUGUGACUGAGGAGGAAAGAAUGCACGAAGAUGAGAUCUGCUCAAGGCUGGGUGCAGGAGCUCCCGCAGUGGUGGGGACAGUAAUUCACCAUCAUUAGCUCCUGCUCAGGUCUAAGGUGACUUCUCAUGGCUACUGUCAUGCUGGUGGUGGCGGAGGGUGGUGUUUUUGCAAAACUAGAUAGAGAGUGCCUUGUACAUGCUAGGCAUUCAAGGAAUGCUUCACUGAACCUGUGUAUCCCAGUUUCUAGGGACUCAACCAUUUUCCAUAGUCCUGGGUUUUCUAAAAGUCCACACUCCUUCAAAAGGUAAAAAAUCCUCAUAUUUGGCAGCUCAUUAACAAAAACAAAUAACCAGGUAAGUAAUUGAGAGAAUGCAGUGAAGCAUCCACAUGUAUUACAGACACAAGAAUAAAACACUUUAUCAUUUUUGCAGAAGAGAUACUCAAUGUUAAAUGAAACAAAAACAAAUUAAAAAGAGUAAAAAAAAAUGUGUCUCCAUUGAUCUUCUCUAAUUGUUUGAAAUUUUCAGAGAUGGGGCUGAAGACCGAAGGCUUCUUAUGAACGAAGAUGUUUCUUACUAACAGGAGGAGCAUUGAAUGGGUUGAGCAGGCGAGCCUCGGAGCAGGUUGAGGGCCUCUUUUGCCACAUUAGCUCGGGCUGCUGAGUCUGAUCAUCAGCCGUGAAGGAGAGUGAGGGCUCCUGGAGCCUGUAAGCCAGGGACUCCUGAGCACAGCCUGUGGAUGGGGAAGCUCUGGAUGGCCAUGGACCGCGCUCGCUGCUGUUUGUCUCUCUGUGUUGUUGCUGGGUCACAAUCCCACAGACCGCCACCAAGCAGCCCUUCUGCCCAUGGCCACCCCCCAGAGGCCCAGGUGGGCACCUCCCAAUUCAUGAGCCAAUGCAAAGGCUCACACUGGCUGAGGAGGUGGAUGAAUGCCCUGUCAACACCCACGACCAUGCUGACCACUGCACAAAAGGCCCUCAACAGGAGUGGCCAGAUCGGCAAGAUAGGUCCCUGAGCCCUGGCAAGCCACCAGUUCCACACCCAGUCACUGAUCCAGCAGGAAGCUCCUGAUUCCAGAACCUGAGUCCAGUCCCACAGGUCUAGCCGGUGCCUGCUCUGCCUGUCUCAGGUGUCUCACGCCGGCAAGGCUCCCUCUGGGGCCGGGGCUGCUCAAGGGAGCCACUUAAAUUGCCCCAUCCCGUUGGCCACUGACCACCACCUGCCCACAGCACUUGCUUUCCCGUAGGCAACCAGUCCGUGUUCUCUGCUUCCCUCCUGGGUGCAGGAGCACAGGAGGCUGCAUGCUCCUCAGCGGCCCUGGCCUGGUGAAGGACAGACAGACGCAGUCUGAGGAACCCACGGUUCUGCAAUCACAGAACCAGUCCUAGAGAAAUCAGGUAAGUCGGUGAGGUGGACUCCGGCUGCCCCAGCCCUAGCUGGCUGUGUCCUGGCCUUCAGCUACUUGAGGAUCUAAACGCAGCUCCCCCGUGAAGACCUGUCCUUAGGAAGAAAUCUCCUUUGAAAAUUCCUCAGCAACUUGCAGGGAAAUGCAAUAAUAGAUGAAGAAAGGAUCCAAUGCGAGUCAUUUACACCUCAAAUGAAAUAAGUCAAAGCAUCACGUCGUCCGGUAGUGUUUCCAAUGGAAGCCAGGUCCCGGAAAUGCAUCAGUAGUGAGCAGGUUCCAGAGGUGUUCGGCCAACAUGAGCAGGUGCUCCAGGCCUGAUCCACCGGCUCCGCCUGCUCCGCCCUAGGCCACCACGCACCACUGUCUUCUAUGAUGUUUGACUUCUGGGAGCAGGUCUUACCUUCCCAGCUGGAUUGGAAGUCUUUGAAAACAGGCCGUCUGCCCUAUAUCCCCUCCCUGCCCCACCUUGCCUGGAACAGAGGCCUCGGACGUGGCAGAGCAAUAGAAAUCUGCUGCACGAAGAGCGAUGCGCGAAGGAGGGAGAGGAAGGGAACUGUGGAGGCGGCGGCCUGCCCUGCCCUGUCAGAGAGGCAGCUAUGCUAGGAGUCUUGCGUGCUCUCUGGUUAUUCUCCGGGCGCUGCACAGGGAGCCUGGUGAGGAGGGAGGGCUUGGCAGGCUCCUGGGCUCGCCCUCGCCUGGCACCAAGGAGCCCGCUGUUAUUUCUGUGUGUUCCAGGCACACGCUCCAGCACCACUAGGGGACAUUUUAGGACAUUCUGGGGGCAGUUAGCACCGGGGGCAGUGGUCACCUGGUAGAAAAAUAAAAAGGUCCUGAGCAUGUCCUAAGCGGGGCCCUCGGGCCUGCCUGAGCGCCUCCUCUCUCCACUUGGAGGGCGCAUGGCCGGGAAGAACCGUCAGGAAUCAGCGGCUCCACCGCCUCACCCCUGUUCUAGAAGCAGGAUGGAGACUGGGGGGCGUUUCUCCGGCAGCAUCCCUGGAGGUGGGGGGAGCCCACCCCUCGUCCCCUCCAGCCCUCAGGUGUGGAGUCAGUGCAGGCGUCAGCACCCCCGGGCGCCCCUCCGAGCGGGGAAGCCUGCGGGCGGGGCGCUUCCCUGGGCCUCGGGGGAGGCAUCACCGCGCACACGAGCAGCAGCCAGCGUUGGUGCUCGAGUCAGACCAGCGCGUCGCUCACUAGGACCACGGCCUGAAGCCGCUCUCCAGCAGCUCAGCCCCACGACGGUUCCGCUGCGAGAAGGGAGGGGGAAAGAAAGCAGGUACUGAUGUCACCUUGAGCCAAAGGAAAACAAC
rnacentral:lncRNA from 1 species